rnacentral:sRNA from 1 species
UGAAAAACAACAAAAAAACCAUA